rnacentral:rRNA from 1 species
GAUGAACGCUGGCUACAGGCUUAACACAUGCAAGUCGAGGGGAAACGACGGGGAAGCUUGCUUCCCCGGGCGUCGACCGGCGCACGGGUGAGUAACGCGUAUCCAACCUGCCUCUGACUGAGGGAUAACCCGUCGAAAGUCGGCCUAAUACCUCAUGGUAUCGUCUGCGGGCAUCCAACGACGAUUAAAGAUUUCAUCGGUCAGGGAUGGGGAUGCGUCUGAUUAGCUUGUUGGCGGGGUAACGGCCCACCAAGGCUACGAUCAGUAGGGGUUCUGAGAGGAAGGUCCCACACAUUGGAACUGAGACACGGUCCAAACUCCUACGGGAGGCAGCAGUGAGGAAUAUUGGUCAAUGGGCGAGAGCCUGAACCAGCCAAGUAGCGUGCAGGAAGACGGCCCUAUGGGUUGUAAACUGCUUUUAUGCGGGGAUAAAGUGAGGGACGUGUCCCUCAUUGCAGGUACCGCAUGAAUAAGGACCGGCUAAUUCCGUG